AACGUAGGAGACAAACGUUAUCCGGAGUUACUGGGCGUAAAGGGCGUGCAGGCGGUCUGUUAAGUCUGGCGUGAAAGCUCUCGGCUAAACCGGGAGAGGUCGUUGGAUACUGACGGACUAGAGGACGGUAGAGGCGUGUGGAAUUCCGGGUGUAGUGGAGAAAUGCGUAGAGAUCCGGAGGAACACCAGUGGCGAAGGCGACACGCUGGGCCGUACCUGACGCUAAGACGCGACAGCAUGGGGAGCGAACAGG
rnacentral:rRNA from 1 species